GCACUGCUGAGGAGUCCCAUACUAGGACGAAACGGUCGCCCAGUAC
rnacentral:hammerhead_ribozyme from 1 species